rfam:Taeniopygia guttata chromosome 1A, whole genome shotgun sequence.
CCAAAGGCUCUUUUAAGAGCCGCACACUUAAACUGUAAAAGAGCUG